rnacentral:rRNA from 1 species
GGUUACUGCUAUCGGUGUUCGCCUAAGCCAUGCAACUCAUAUGUUCUUCGGAACAUGGCGUACUGCUCAUUUUCCUAUGGAUAACCUGCCCUUGGGUCCGGCAUAACCCCGGGAAACUGGGGAUAAUUCCGGAUAACGCACAUAUGCUGGAAUGCUUUAUGCGUCAAAUGGAUUCGUCCGCCCAAGGAUGGGUCUGCGGCCUAUCAGGUAGUAGUGGGUGUAAUGUACCUACUAGCCUACGACGGGUACGGGUUGUGAGAGCAAGAGCCCGGAGAUGGAUUCUGAGACAUGAAUCCAGGCCCUACGGGGCGCAGCAGGCGCGAAAACUUUACAAUGCGGGAAACCGUGAUAAGGGGACACCGAGUGCCAGCAUCCUAUGCUGGCUGUCCGGGUGCGUAAAAUACACCUGUUAGCAAGGGCCGGGCAAGACCGGUGCCAGCCGCCGCGGUAGCACCGGCGGCCCGAGUGGUGAUCGUGAUUAUUGGGUCUAAAGGGUCCGUAGCCGGUUUGGUCAGUCCUCCGGGAAAUCUGACGGCUCAACCGUUAGGCUUUCGGGGGAUACUGCCAGACUUGGAACUGGGAGAGGUAAGAGGUACUACAGGGGUAGGAGUGAAAUCUUGUAAUCCCUGUGGGACCACCUGUGGCGAAGGCGUCUUACCAGAACGGGCUCGACGGUGAGGGACGAAAGCUGGGGGCACGAACCGGAUUAGGUACCCGGGUAGUCCCAGCCGUAAACGAUGCUCGCUAGGUGUCAGGCAUGGCGCGACCGUGUCUGGUGCCGCAGGGAAGCCGUGAAGCGAGCCACCUGGGAAGUACGGCCGCAAGGCUGAAACUUAA